rnacentral:rRNA from 1 species
UACGUAGGUGGCAAGCGUUAUCCGGAAUUAUUGGGCGUAAAGCGCGCGCAGGUGGUUAAUUAAGUCUGAUGUGAAAGCCCACGGCUUAACCGUGGAGGGUCAUUGGAAACUGGUUGACUUGAGUGCAGAAGAGGGAAGUGGAAUUCCAUGUGUAGCGGUGAAAUGCGUAGAGAUAUGGAGGAACACCAGUGGCGAAGGCGGCUUCCUGGUCUGCAACUGACACUGAGGCGCGAAAGCGUGGGGAGCAAACAGG